rnacentral:rRNA from 1 species
UCAAGGAAGAGAAGAGCAUACGGUGGAUGCCUUGGCGCGUUGCGGCGAAGAAGGACGUGGUGAACUGCGAAAAGCUUCGGGGAGUCGUAAACAGGCCGUGAUCCGGAGAUGUCCGAAUGGGGAAACCUCCCUGUUGUCAUGGACAGGGAUCGUGUUCUGAAUGAAGUAGGGGCACGAGGCGAACCCGGGGAACUGAACCAUCUUAGUACCCGGAGGAAGAGAAAUCAAGAGAGAUUCCCGGAGUAGCGGCGAGCGAAAGGGGACGAGCCGAAACCGAAACAGUGUCAAGAUCGUGAUCGUUGCUGUUUGGGGGUUGCGGGGCAAUGUGUCUGCGUGUCACGACACGCAGCGGGAAGCAUCAUGGAGACCGGAAGGGCCUGGAACGGUCCGCCGCAGAGGGUGAGAGUCCCGUAGGGGCAGCCAUGAGAGGACCCGAGGAUUGACCCCAAGUACCACGGGACACGUGAAACCUUGUGGGAAGCUGGGAGGCCCACCUUCCAAGGCUAAAUACGUCAACGCGACCGAUAGUGAACCAGUACCGUGAGGGAAAGGUGAAAAGAACCCGGGGCGAUGGCGUGCCUCUUGCAUAAUGAGCCGGCGAGUUACCGUGUACUGCCAGGUUAACACAGAGAGUGGGAGCCGGAGCGAAAGCGAGUCUGAAGAGGGCGUGCGAGUAGGACGCGGUAGACCCGAAGCCGAGUGAGCUAUCCAUGAGCAGGUUGCAGCGUUCGUAACAGGACGUGAAGGACCCGACCCACUCAGGUUGAAAACUGAGGGGAGGACUUGUGGAUAGGGGUGAAAGGCCAAUCAAACUCGGAGAUAGCUGGUUCUCCCCGAAAUUGCUGUAGGGCGAGCCUCUGGUGUUGGGUGUCGGGGGUAGAGCACUGAUUGGGUUAGGGCCCUUCGCCGGGUACCGUCCCCAGUCAAACUCCGAAUCCCGGCAACGUCGAGCCAGGGAGUGAGACGGUGGGGGAUAAGCUUCAUCGUCGAAAGGGAAAGAGCCCAGACCAUCAGCUAAGGUCCCGAACGGUCUGUUAAGUGGAAAAGGAUGUGGGGAUGCCCAGACAGCCAGGAGGUUGGCUUAGAAGCAGCCAUCCUUGAAAGAAAGCGUAACAGCUCACUGGUCAAGUGUGCCUGCGCCGAAAAUGUAACGGGGCUGAAACAGACGACCGAAGCUAUGGAUGCCUCUGCGGAGGCAUGGUAGGGGAGCGUUCUCUGCCACAGCGAAGCCGUUUCGAGAGGGGCGGUGGAGUGGAGAGAAGUGAAGAUGCCGGCAUGAGUAACGAUAAAACAGGUGAGAGUCCUGUUCGCCGAAAUUCUCAGGGUUCCUAGGGCAAGGCGAGUCCGCCCAGGGUUAGUCGGGACCUAAGCUGAGGCCGCGAGGCGUAAGUGAUGGCAAACAGGGGAAUAGUCCUGUACCACCGGCAUGAUGAUUGAGCGAGGGGGGUGACGUGUGCAGGGAGGCCGGCCUGUCAGUGGUAACACAGGUGGAACCCGGGAGGAGGACUGUGCGGCAAAUCCCACAGUCAGAGACUCUGAGCGGGGAGACCGGGCCGUCGGGCCAGAAGCGGUUGCGCCCUGGACACCAAGAAAAGCCCUCUAGUGAGUGAUGCGGGUGCCCGUACCCGAAACCGACACAGGUAGAAGCGGAAGGACUCCGUAGGCGUGUGAGCAAACCCUCGUUAAGGAACUCGGCAAAAUUACCCCGUAACUUCGGGAGAAGGGGUACCCUAGUACGGUGAGGAGAGCGAUACUCUGAGUCGGAGGGGGUGGCACAAACCAGGCCCAGGCGACUGUUUACUAAAAACAUAGGUCUCUGCGAAGUCGAAAAGACGCAGUAUAGGGACUGACGCCUGCCCGGUGCCGGAAGGUUAAGAGGAGGGGUUAGUUGUAAAGACGACGCUCUGAAUUGAAGCCCCGGUAAACGGCGGCCGUAACUAUAACGGUCCUAAGGUAGCGAAAUUCCUUGUCGGGUAAGUUCCGACCUGCACGAAUGUCCCACGACUAGACGGAAAGACCCCGUGCACCUUUACUAUAGCUUGACGUUGGGUUGUAGAGUAUUUUGUGCAGGAUAGGUGGGAGGCGGAGAAGUCAGCACGCCAGUGUUGGUGGAGCCAUCCUUGAAAUACCACCCUGAAUGCUUUGGAAUCCUCACUGCGCUCCGUGAAUCCGGAGCCGGGACAGGGUCAGGUGGGUAGUUUGACUGGGGCGGUCACCUCCCAAAGAGUAACGGAGGUGUGCGACGGUGCCCUCAGGCUGUAUAGAAAUCAGUCGGAGAGUGCAAAGGCAGAAGGGCGCUUGACUGCGAGACCGACGGGUCGAGCAGGUGCGAAAGCAGGUCUUAGUGAUCCGGCGGCACUUGGUGGCAGGGCCGUCGCUCAACGGAUAAAAGGUACGCCGGGGAUAACAGGCUGAUUCUGCCCGAGAGUUCCCAUCGACGGCAGAGUUUGGCACCUCGAUGUCGGCUCAUCGCAUCCUGGAGCUGCGUGAGACAGUUCGGUCCCUAUCUGUCGUGGGCGGAAGGAGAUUUGCGAGGGGCUGUCCUUAGUACGAGAGGACCGGGAUGGACACAUCACUUGUGUACCAGUUGUCGUGCCAACGGCAUGGCUGGGUAGCGACAUGUGGUCGGGAGAACCGCUGAAAGCAUCUAAGCGGGAAGCCCUCCUCCAGAUGAGAUCUCCCGUUUUUCUGCGGAAAGACCGAAGGGCCCUGGGAGAUGACCAGGUAGAUAGGCGGCAUGUGGACGCGCGGUAACGUGUGGAGCAGAGCCGUACUAAGCGCCCGAGCGCGACUUGACUCC